GUAUCUUUAUUGUUGGGCUGUUAUGUUCAACAUGUGAUAAUCCAUCAGAGGCAGAUCAACAGAUAGCCGAGGCCACGCCCCUUUCCGGUGGAUAUAACGGGAUCUUAUUUCGGAAAAAAACACGUGGAUGAGGCGGAUGGAGCACUUGGGCACUGCAUUGUUCUUGUGGUUGAGUGCUGCCAGGAUGCGAGGCAGGUGACCCAGAGGAGGAACCUGGUCGGCCAGCUGGCUCUGUGUGCUGAACAGACAAACUGCUGCCGUGGUAACCGUCUCCAGGGCCUCACCCUGCAGGAGACCGGAGAUGUCAGGAAGAGCUCGGUCAUGGUCUCCAGGAGGGACACCAGGAACUCUCGAGGCUUGCGAAGCACCCAGCCUGGCUGUGCGAUGAAGAUACGCAAGAAGACGCCACCGACUUCUAGCUCGCCCUGUCCUGCUCCAUAAGCCACUGUGAAGUCAUCUGGCAUCUGAUGAAACAAAGACGUUAUUGUCACAUUAAAUAAAAACAUGUUA